AAGCAUCGAUUGCCUUAUUUUAUAGAUGAAGAAAGUCACUUGAGAUGUGAAGCUAUUUAACUUACUGCUCUGUUGGUACCAUUGGUACUAGGACUAAACUUAGGUCUCUGAACUCAUAAUCAAGUGGACUGAUUCCUAAACUUCAGCCACAGACCCCAGAAAUGCAGAAUAAAUAUUUAAGGAAUAUUGAUUGGAAAGGCCAUUGAAUGACAACUGUUCUCAGAGUGCCUGAAUCUCUUAUGCUGGCCACGGCUCCCUUGACCCUCAGAGCAAGUUCUGCCACCACAUUAUCUCCAAAAGCUGUGUUCAGGAAUUUGUCCAGCUUCCCAGUAAAAAACAAAACAGGCAUAGAGCCAGAAGAGCAAAGAAAGCAGCAAAGAGGUCCAUCCACUUAUGAGAGAACUGAAUAAAUAGCCAGAAGACAGAAAACAAGGGAAAUAAAUGAUGACAAAGUAGAGAAAGAGACAGACCAACUACACGAAGAAGUUUGCUUCCAAGGAAAUCCUUCUCCAGUGACCAGAGGAAUGACCAACUCCCCACCUUCUCACUGUCCAGCAGUCCCUGCUAACCCACAGGUAUGUGCUGAUGCCAGUUCACCUACUUCCUCACCUGUGAGCACAGGUCACAAAGAGGG